ACGGGUGAGUAAUGCCUAGGAAUCUGCCUGGUAGUGGGGGACAACGUCUCGAAAGGGACGCUAAUACCGCAUACGUCCUACGGGAGAAAGCAGGGGACCUUCGGGCCUUGCGCUAUCAGAUGAGCCUAGGUCGGAUUAGCUAGUUGGUGAGGUAAUGGCUCACCAAGGCGACGAUCCGUAACUGGUCUGAGAGGAUGAUCAGUCACACUGGAACUGAGACACGGUCCAGACUCCUACGGGAGGCAGCAGUGGGGAAUAUUGGACAAUGGGCGAAAGCCUGAUCCAGCCAUGCCGCGUGUGUGAAGAAGGUCUUCGGAUUGUAAAGCACUUUAAGUUGGGAGGAAGGGUUGUAGAUUAAUACUCUGCAAUUUUGACGUUACCGACAGAAUAAGCACCGGCUAACUCUGUGCCAGCAGCCGCGGUAAUACAGAGGGUGCAAGCGUUAAUCGGAAUUACUGGGCGUAAAGCGCGCGUAGGUGGUUUGUUAAGUUGGAUGUGAAAGCCCCGGGCUCAACCUGGGAACUGCAUUCAAAACUGACAAGCUAGAGUAUGGUAGAGGGUGGUGGAAUUUCCCUGUGUAGCGGUG
rnacentral:rRNA from 1 species